AAAGCCAAGGUUGGUUGACUAGCUGUUACAGUUGUUUAUGCUGUUGGUGGAGUCGGAUCAUUCGGAAUUCAAAUUCAGCAACUUAAACAUACAUUCUUGCAUUUUACCUGUCCAACACUGAACUCAUGGAGCACCGUAACAUCACCUAUUUGAAGGAUUUGGAUUUGGCUCGCUGUGAUUACACUGUGAAGGUUCGUGUACUUCGGUUAUGGAAGCAACCGUGUAUAACAAUCCAGAACAGUUUUACUCAAUCGAGAUGAUUGUUGUUGAUGAAGCGGUUAUGGAAGCAACCCAUGUAUAACAACCCAUGUAUAACAAUCCAGAACAAUUUUUGAUAGUUUGUUCUCGAAAAAACCAGUCUUUACACAUGGUCAAUUGUACGUUGCAUUAUCAAGAGUUACAAGACGAGAUGGCCUCAAAGUUGUUAUUCUAGAUAGUGAUGGUAAUCUUUCAAAUACAACAUCAAAUGCUGUAUACAAAGAAGUUUUUAGAAAUUUGUAAAGUAUGUUUAUAUUUUUU